GUUUUCGGCAAGGAACACACUAUAAAGUAAAGAAUCCAUUCGAUGCAUGCAGACCAGUAUCCUUUUUGGAACUUAAAAUCUUAGUGAGAUGUCUGAAGCACCAGGAGAGUAAGUGAUUUGUCCAGGGUUACACACUGUCAACCAUGGGACUUGAACUCAUCUUCCUUUCUCCAAAGCAAAUUGUCUAUUCAUAUAUGGCAAAUUGUCUUUCAUAUAGUACUCUCUGUGUAAAUAGGAUACUUCCUAUAAAAUUAUAAUCUUCAUCUAUCUUCCUCAUCACUACUUAAAGCUUUCUUUUCCUUCAAGUUAUGUUUCAGAGAGGUGGAGUCAAGAUGGUGGCUUAGUAGCAGAAAAAGUCUAUUCCUCUGUGAAAACCCUUCCAACCCAAUCAAAAACAAAGCACUUUAAGGGGGACAGAAAAGCAAAUCCAAGAAAACAGAGCUUCAGGACCCUCCUACUCAAUUCAACUUUAAAGACAUGUGGGAAAGGAAAGAAUUUAAGACAAAGCAAGAGGACUUCGGGGUCUAUUGUCCCAAGACUUGAAAUUGAAAACAUAAAGUUGUGCCUGGGUGAUAAAGAUGGAGAAGGAGAAUUAUAGAAUUCUGAGUCACAAAGAAGGCAUGUUGAGGAAAUAAAAAGCAAAAUCUAAGUGACUGCUUUAGUAGA
rnacentral:lncRNA from 1 species